rnacentral:rRNA from 1 species
CUCUUGACAUGCCAGGAACCUUGGAGAGAUCUGAGGGUGCCCGAAGGGAAUCUGGACACAGGUGCUGCAUGGCUGUCGUCAGCUCGUGUCGUGAGAUGUUGGGUUAAGUCCCGCAACGAGCGCAACCCUUAUCAUUAGUUGCUACGCAAGGGCACUCUAAUGAGACUGCCGGUGACAAACCGGAGGAAGGUGGGGAUGACGUCAAGUCCUCAUGGCCCUUAUGAGCAGGGCUUCACACGUCAUACAAUGGUCGGUACAGAGGGUUGCCAACCCGCGAGGGGGAGCCAAUCCCACAAAGCCGAUCGUAGUCCGGAUCGCAGUCUGCAACUCGACUGCGUGAAGUCGGAAUCGCUAGUAAUCGCGGAUCAGCAUGUCGCGGUGAAUACGUUCCCGGGCCUUGUACACACCGCCCGUCACACCAUGGGAGUAGGUUGCUCCAGAAGUAGGUAGCCUAACCGCAAGGAGGGCGCUUACCACGGAGUGAUUCAUGACUGGGG